AUAUUAGGUAAAAAAUUGUAAUUUUAAGUAAACAUUUAACUAGUUUUUAUAAGCGACAUAUGCAUAACCUUAAUUAUUGUAGGUAGCGGAGCAAGUGCAUAUAUUAUAUAUGCACAUAUAUAUGUAUAUACCAGCGGACUUUGAAGGCAUACACGUUGCGCGGCUAACUGUGGCUUUGUUAAACUGUAUAGACAUAACCACAUUUUGACGGAAAAGUUGCAUAUAUAUGCUCUAGGAUUAAACCAACCUCAAAUUGUUGUUAAUAGAAAGCAAAUUUAAAUUGCUGUAAUGUUUUCUAUAUGAUUGCCUUGUUGCAUUUCAUCCUAUACAAUUCAUGCACACUUGUAUGCAAUUAAAUUCAUCGGAAGAGUUAUAGCCUUAACAGACGGCAGCGCUAAUUUGCAUCAGCAGGCUUAAUUUGCAUUAUCUUGCGCAUUCGAUCCAUUUUGAUGCAAAUCAGUGAUAUAUAAAAACAAACAAUUUUGAUGAAUUUAGCUGAAUAUACCAAAUUUGAUUAUGCAACACUGCAGAGAAAGUUUUGCUAUUGUGAAUGUGGUUGAUACAAAGAGGAAGUCACAAAAACUUUUAGAUUGCAGAAAUUAUACAGCGGACAGUUUCAACAAUAACAACGGCAAACAGCGACGAAAAUGUGCUGCUAGAUUUGUGCACUUUUUUUUAUGAAUUAACAGAUUUCUCAAGCUGCCUAAAUGCACAAAUCUGCCGUCUGUCAGCAUAAAAUUUCAAUUCGCAUUAGCAUUUCGUAAGGCGCAUUAAUUUUGCUCGUCUGUCACUGCUAUUAUGCAUUAUGUUUGGGGGCAUACAGUCAUGCGCCAGCGUUGCACCUACGAAAGUAGUAUUGUAUUGAUGAGCUCAUGAUAUUUUUAUUUAAUUAAACUAAUUAGCUAUGUGUUAUUAUUAUAUAAAUAUACGCGUAUGGUGUUAUUGUUAAAUCAUAAAAUAUAUGUCUGUUUUCUCGAGUUUAUCUAUCCUAAAAAAUGGUAGAUAAGUUGAUGUUAAGUUAAGACGAGCGUGUUGCCAAUAGAUUUUAUGUUAAGCCUGCUUAGUUUUAGUAUACAUUUUAAACUUUUAGAUUGUUAGAUUUCAUUAGACAAUCUACAUAUUGUUAUUAGGUAUUACAGUUCUUUUGUUAUGUACAUCAGCUACAUUGUUAUCAUUACAAUUUGGUUAUUGGUUGUCUUCAAUUUCAAUUUCAUUUUCACAUUUACAUAUUUUAUUUUAACGCUGCUUUCAUCGUAUAUUUUUAAGAUAACCGUUCAACUAAUAAAUAAAAAAAAUGUCUACAUUAUUGAUUUUGUCCACUACAUGCUAUACGCUUAUGCAUAAAUACCUGCCUGUCUCUUUCUCAAUUAUGCCAAAUCAACCAAUUAUUCCAAAUCAAACAAGUGCAUUAUGAUAAUGUACAGUGUAAAUGAUUGUGAUGUUAUAAAAAACUCCUAAUUCAAAUUAAAUUGAAAUUUUAAAGUUAACAGUAUAAACAGUAUAUUAACUAUUCAUUGUUACGCGACUCGUUACAGUUUUGUUUGCUUUCUAACAAUAGUUUAAUCAUUGAGUUUUUGUAAUUUUUGUUAAAUAUUGCUGAACGAUAUGUUUUUCUAAAAUACACACAUUUGCAGAUUUCACUGUCACAAAAUUCUACAUUCGCCUUUUUAAGGGGUUAGGUGGGUUUCAUAAUUAAAAAAUUGUGAAUUUUUUUGUUUUAUUAUAUAAAACAAUAUUCACCAAAAAUUUUAAAUCGAUCCAACUAAAAUUCUAAGAGAUAGACAUUUUGAUCUUUGGCCCUUUGACGAUACCUCAAAAAGUUAUGCAGUGAUUUUGUUUAAAUUUCGCACACAGCUUUGAAAUAACAUUAACUAAUUAAAGAACAAAAGAUUAUUUUCGAAGUCGUUUAAUAAUACAGCAGUUAGAAAGAGUUGUUUGACGCACUGACUUGGCAGCUGAGAACUUCGAACGCGUUUUCCUCAAAACUAUGUUUUUCAAACUAAAAAAAGCUAAAGUUUCAAAAAACAAAAUUUUCAUUUAAAAAAUUCUAAAUUUUCAAAAAAAACUAAAAUUUCAAAAUAAAUAAACUACAAUUUAAAAAAAUAUAGCUAAUAUAUAAAAUAAAAACUUUACAAAAAUAGAAAAUCGAAUACUCGAAAACGAGAUACGAAGCGGAUAGCAGGGUGUGAAAUUGUAUGUUAAAUAUUAUCGUAAAUUUAUUUUAAAUAUUUUUGGAAUAAAUUGAGAAUUAUAUAUGCAUGAACUUCAGCAUUAAUUAAUACAUUUUUAAAUUUUGUAUAUUUUUUCUGAUCUGAUUUUGGUUAUUUUUUUUAAAUAGGUUUGAACGGUUUAGUUACUCGUUAUGUGUUAAAUAAUAUUCAAUAAAAUGUGAAAUAAAAAACAUUGGUUUUUUUAUAAUAAAAUUUGUAUUUAUUAAAAAAAGUGGGUGAAGUGUUUGAGAAUAGGAUUUUAAUAAUAAAUAUGUGCUUACUUUGGUUUUAUUUAAAUAAAUAAGUACAGUACUUUUCGCUUAAUUGCACAUCAAAAUUUGCACAAAUUUUCGUUCAAUUAACCGGGGAAUCAAUUAA